rnacentral:rRNA from 1 species
GACGAACGCUGGCGGCGUGCUUAACACAUGCAAGUCGAACGGUGAAGCGCCUUCCUUUUUGGUGGGUGUGGAUGAGUGGCGAACGGGUGAGUAACACGUGAGUAACCUGCCCCCUUCUUCUGGAUAACCGCAUGAAAGUGUGGCUAAUACGGGAUAUUCUGGGUCUGUCGCAUGAUGGGUCUGGGAAAGAUAUUGUUUCGGUGGGGGAUGGGCUCGCGGCCUAUCAGCUUGUUGGUGGGGUGAUGGCCUACCAAGGCGGUGACGGGUAGCCGGCCUGAGAGGGUGGACGGUAACACAGGGACUGAGACACGGCCCAGACUCCUACGGGAGGCAGCAGUGGGGAAUAUUGCACAAUGGGCGCAAGCCUGAUGCAGCGACGCCGCGUGAGGGAUGGAGGCCUUCGGGUUGUGAACCUCUUUCGCCAGUGAAGCAGGCCUGCCUCGUUUGUGGGUGGGUUGACGGUAGCUGGAUAAGAAGCGCCGGCUAACUACGUG